GGUGUGCCUGCAGAACGCUGAAUUAGCCAUCCCUGCUCAGUCUGAAGCGCACGAGCACCGUGAGCUGCCUCAGAGUGGGCCUCACGGCCAAGCGGCUCCUUCGCUAGGCAGUAGGAAAUGACUUCAAUCCUACAGCUCUUUCUCCUGGGCUUUGGUGCCUGACUCGGAGCAGCAGCGAGGUAUUUCCCUGAAACCUUUCCUGGAAUAAGAUCCCCUGUGGGCUCUUGCACUGUCACUGUGAUGGAUUAUCUGAAAUCAUGCUGGGAAGAAGUACACGUAGAGCUGGAUGGACCUGGUGUACAGCGUCUUUUCUAGAGCUGAACUGAUGGGAUAUGCCUGUCUAUGUCUAUCUUGUACAACCUGUGAGGAACCACUGAAGAAGGCUCCUUCCUUGGUGGAGACCACUGGCAUUGAACGCACUUGCCCGCACCAAGAGUUUAGGCUCUUACCUGGUAAUUGGCAAAACAUCAACCCUUAAAAUAAGUGGAGUUGAAAGGAAGGAAAAGAAUAUCUCUGCGAACAGGUGAUGUUUAUGCUUUGGAGAUCUUUUUGUGCAAAGUGCUUUAUAGACAGGUAGCAAGACACCCUCCCUCUACAAGUGCUUACAGGCAGGCAAAGGCAAACAAGAACAUUAACAUAUCCGUUUUGCAAAGAUGAAGCAGGCAGAUUAGCAGAGAGGAUAAAUGAACUGCCCAAAUGCAUGGAGAGGGUCUGAAAAUCACAGACAGAGUCUCUAGUCAA